UACGGAGGGUGCGAGCGUUGUCCGGAAUUAUUGGGCGUAAAGAGCUCGUAGGCGGUUUGUCACGUCUGCUGUGAAAUCCCGAGGCUCAACCUCGGGCCUGCAGUGGGUACGGGCAGACUGGAGUGCGGUAGGGGAGAAUGGAAUUCCUGGUGUAGCGGUGGAAUGCGCAGAUAUCAGGAGGAACACCGAUGGCGAAGGCAGUUCUCUGGGCCGUAACUGACGCUGAGGAGCGAAAGCGUGGGGAGCGAACAGG
rnacentral:rRNA from 1 species